rnacentral:misc_RNA from 1 species
UUUCCGUGGGUGAACCUGCGGAAGGAUCGUUCAUAAUAAGUCAUUUAUGGCACUUUUUUAAAUCCAUAUCCACCUUGUGUGCAAUGUCAGGGUCGGUCUCUUUUGAUCAGCCCCAAUCAUCAACUAUUAUCUCAACUCUUUGUCUGAAUAAUAUUAUGAUUAAAACAUUUCAAAAUACAACUUUCAACAACGGAUCUCUUGGCUCUC